rnacentral:rRNA from 1 species
GGCGGCAGGCCUAACACAUGCAAGUCGAACGGUAACAGGAAGCAGCUUGCUGCUUCGCUGACGAGUGGCGGACGGGUGAGUAAUGUCUGGGAAACUGCCUGAUGGAGGGGGAUAACUACUGGAAACGGUAGCUAAUACCGCAUAACGUCGCAAGACCAAAGAGGGGGACCUUCGGGCCUCUUGCCAUCGGAUGUGCCCAGAUGGGAUUAGCUAGUAGGUGGGGUAACGGCUCACCUAGGGCGACGAUCCCUAGCUGGUCUGAGAGGAUGACCAGCCACACUGGAACUGAGACACGGUCCAGACUCCUACGGGAGGCAGCAGUGGGGAAUAUUGCACAAUGGGCGCAAGCCUGAUGCAGCCAUGCCGCGUGUAUGAAGAAGGCCUUCGGGUUGUAAAGUACUUUCAGCGGGGAGGAAGGCGAUAAGGUUAAUAACCUUGUCGAUUGACGUUACCCGCAGAAGAAGCACCGGCUAACUCCGUGCCAGCAGCCGCGGUAAAUACGGAGGGUGCAAGCGUUAAUCGGAAUUACUGGGCGUAAAAGCGCAACCGCAGGCNGUCUGUACAAGUUCGGNAUGUUGAAAAUCCCCGG